UUUUUUUUAUGGUAUGGCUCUGAACCAUUGUCCAAAUUUUUUAAGCAAUGUGAGAUAUUGUACAAUCGUAAUGUUAUCCACCCAAACACGUCCUACCAUAUAACCCAGUCCCGUGAAAUUAAACAUAAUUUUGUUAUUUUCUUAUAAAUUUCAAUAUU
rnacentral:sRNA from 1 species